rnacentral:rRNA from 1 species
GACUCUUUGCGGUGGAUAACUCGGCUCGUGCAUCAAUGAAGAACGCAGCUAGAUGCGAGAACUUAUGUGAAUUGCAGGACACAUUGAUAAUCAACACUUAGAAAGUACCUUGUGGCCCUGGGUUCCUCCGGGAGCUACAUCCGUCUGAGCGUCG